rnacentral:rRNA from 1 species
CAGCUUUCUGGAUCAUUACUGACACUGAGGAACGAAAGCAUGGGUAGCGAAGAGGAUUAGAUACCCUCGUAGUCCAUGCCGUAAACGAUGUGUGUUAGACGUNGGAAAUUUAUUUUCAGUGUCGCAGCGAAAGCAUUAAACACACCGCCUGGGGAGUACGACCGCAAGGUUAAAACUCAAAUGAAUUGACGGGGACCCGCACAAGUAGUGGAGCAUGUGGUUUAAUUCGAAGAUACGCGCAGAACCUUACCAACACUUGACAUGUUCGUCGCGACUUUAAGAGAUUCAAAGUUUUCGGUUCGGCCGGACGAAACACAGGUGCUGCAUGGCUGUCGUCAGCUCGUGUCGUGAGAUGUUGGGUUAAGUCCCGCAACGAGCGCAACCCUCACUUUUAGUUGCCAUCAUUUAGUUGGGCACUCUGAAAGAACUGCCAGUGAUAAGCUGGAGGAAGGUGGGGAUGACGUCAAGUCCUCAUGGCCCUUACGUGUUGGGCUACACACGUGCUACAAUGGCAUUUACAAUAGGAAGCAAGAUGGCGACAUCAAGCAAAUCCUAAAAAAAUGCCUCAGUUCGGAUUGUACUCUGCAACUCGAGUACAUGAAGCUGGAAUUACUAGUAAUCSCGGAUCAGCGCGCCGCGGUGAAUACGUUCCCGGGUCUUGUACACACCGCCCGUCACACCAUGGGAGUUGGUUCUACCUUAAGG